rnacentral:rRNA from 1 species
GUUGUAUGGUUAAGUGACUAAGCGUACACGGUGGAUGCCUUGGCAGUCAGAGGCGAUGAAAGACGUAGUAACUUGCGAUAAGCCCAGAUUAGGUAGUAACAACCAUUUGAGUCUGGGAUUUCUGAAUGGGGAAACCCACUUACAUAAGUAAGUAUCAUUAACUGAAUACAUAGGUUAAUGAGGCGAACCGGGGGAACUGAAACAUCUAAGUACCCCGAGGAAAAGAAAUCAACCGAGAUUCCGAAAGUAGCGGCGAGCGAAAUUGGACUAGCCCUUAAGCUUUACACGCGUUAGACGAACGGUCUGGAAAGUCCGACGAUACAGGGUGAUAGUCCCGUAGUUGACGACGUGUGUUCAGUGAAAUCGAGUAGGGCGGGACACGUGAUAUCCUGUCUGAAUAUGGGGGGACCAUCCUCCAAGGCUAAAUACUACUGACUGACCGAUAGUGAACCAGUACCGUGAGGGAAAGGCGAAAAGAACCCCUGUGAGGGGAGUGAAAUAGAACCUGAAACCGUGUACGUACAAGCAGUAGGAGCAGGCUUUGUCCUGUGACUGCGUACCUUUUGUAUAAUGGGUCAGCGACUUAUAUUCAGUGGCAAGGUUAACCAUCUAGGGGAGCCGUAGGGAAACCGAGUCUUAACUGGGCGUUCAGUCUCUGGAUAUAGACCCGAAACCAGGUGAUCUAGCCAUGGGCAGGUUGAAGGUUGAGUAACAUCAACUGGAGGACCGAACCGACUAAUGUUGAAAAAUUAGCGGAUGACUUGUGGCUAGGGGUGAAAGGCCAAUCAAACCUGGAGAUAGCUGGUUCUCCCCGAAAGCUAUUUAGGUAGCGCCUCGGACGAAUACUACUGGGGGUAGAGCACUGUUAAGGCUAGGGGGUCAUCCCGACUUACCAACCCUUUGCAAACUCCGAAUACCAGUAAGUACUAUCCGGGAGACACACGGCGGGUGCUAACGUCCGUCGUGGAGAGGGAAACAACCCAGACCGCCAGCUAAGGUCCCAAAUUACUACUAAGUGGGAAACGAUGUGGGAAGGCUCAGACAGCCAGGAUGUUGGCUUAGAAGCAGCCAUCAUUUAAAGAAAGCGUAAUAGCUCACUGGUCGAGUCGGCCUGCGCGGAAGAUGUAACGGGGCUAAGUAGUAAACCGAAGCUGCGGCAAUAUACUUUUGUAUAUUGGGUAGGGGAGCGUUCUGUAAGCGGUUGAAGGUGUGUGGUAACGCAUGCUGGACGUAUCAGAAGUGCGAAUGCUGACAUGAGUAACGAUAAAGGGGGUGAAAAACCUCCUCGCCGGAAGACCAAGGGUUCCUGUCCAACGUUAAUCGGGGCAGGGUAAGUCGACCCCUAAGGCGAGGCCGAAAGGCGUAGUCGAUGGGAAACGGGUUAAUAUUCCCGUACUUCUUACAAUUGCGAUGGGGGGACGGAGAAGGCUAGGUGGGCCUGGCGACGGUUGUCCAGGUUCAAGUGCGUAGGCUU